rnacentral:sRNA from 1 species
UCAAGCAGAGAGCAAUAUUGUUACAUGCUGCACAACCAUAUCUUGAUCUUGGAGUUCUUCCUUUAUUCCCAUCUUCUCUCUUUCUUUUAUACUGACACCAGACACAAGUUUGAGAAGAUGAUAGGGAAAUUCACUGAUGAUUCAGGUUUGGAUUUGAUCAAGUAGAGGGUAGAGAAUUUGAGAAUUCAAGAAGUUGAAGGUAGAGUUGCUGAUGGAAUUGAACAUGAGAUAGAAUAGUGUCAGUAGUGCCAGUAGUGCCAGUAGUGCCAGUAGUAUGCUGUGUAGCCAGUCAAUGAAGAAGAUAAGCAUUGACAAUAGCAUGAUCAAUAAUCCAGUACAGAUGUAAUAGGAUAAACGGAAGCUUCUAUAUUAGGAAAUAGCU